GCCAGCUCGCGAGCCGGGAGCCCGCACCUUCGAGUCGCCGGUCCGUCUCUGAAGAGCUUCCCCUCGGAAACAAACCCCUCAACUUCCGGAAGCUCGGCGGUAGCGGCUCCACCGCCCGGAGCCUGUUUCCAGCUAGGCGGGCUUGGGGUCGCGGAGUAUUUUUCAAUCUCCUCAGGACGUAAACUCCGGGCUGCGGUCCGGCCCGCCCCUCAGCUGUUUAUUUCUCUCAGCAGGAGUCAGCCCUAAGUGUGACCGAGAUGAGCCCUAUAUAUCUCUCCAAUGCUUGAGAUUCAACAGUUCCUUUCCGGCACAGAUGGGACUCUUCCCUUCUCGCUCUCAGUGCGGUCCUUGGGAUCUCCUGGCACGCGGCGUUUUCCCGCGGGCACUUGAAAAAAGAAGAGAUACCUUACUGACUGCUGCAAACUUUGGGUAUGGGUGUGGAAAUGCUGAGGAGUUACUGUGUAAGCAUGGUUCCGAUGCAGGUGAUUCCUAGAUCCUCGUUUACCAGACUUAUGACUGGUGUGGACUGUUUCUAUCAUAUGUGUUGAGUCUUCAAAGCCACUUGAUUUGGAUCUUCUGGAAUUGCGAUUCCUCAAAGAGAAUGUUUCCACAUAUUAUUGGUUUCCAAAUUUAACAAUUUAGUGACUACAUUUAGUCCAUGAAAGUAACAAUCUCAUUCUCUCCAUAUUCCAUUUAGGCAUCCCCAGCAAUUAAACAAGUUACAAGAAGAAUAGAUACAUUCAACUUAAAUAUAUAAAAAAAGAUUCCCCCUAACCACAAAUCUCACAUCUACAAUGCAACUUACUUUCUGAUAGGACCAUUUUGAAGGUCUUCAAUGUAGUUUUGUCUUUCUAAGCAAUGUCCCCGGCACCUAUUGAAUACUGAGGAGUGGAUGAACUAUUAGAAAUAGCGCAAAAAGCAAACCUUUCCUAGAGAAAGCAGAUCAAAGCUAAAAACCAUUGGACUAAUUAUUCAGGCUGUGAUAGCUCACUAUUUUCAUAUAUGUACUUUUACAAACUUCUGGCAAAAGAUUAUUUUAUAUUCAAAAAGUAAAACCAAGCUUUUUUUCAAAAUUUGAGAAAUUUAUUUAUAAUUCCACCUUCAACUUUGAUAAAAGGAAAAAAUAGUGACAAACUCUCAUACUUACAUUCAAUUGCAUCAUCUGGCCUCAUGCCUUCUACAUCAAUCAAAUAUCUAAUGAAACAACAUAAUUUGAGUCAUUUAUACAUAUCCAAUAAAUCAAGUUUUUUCAAAAAGAUCCAAUCUUACUUGCAAAUACAGAUUUAAAAAUCCUCAGAAAAUAUCAGAACAUCUAAUCCCAACAAUUUUUUUUUUUAAUUUAUUUGUUUGUUUGUUUUGUUUAUACAUGCACUGGGUACAGUCAGAAGUGCGGGAGGGUGAGAGAAUCCACCAGAGCCAGAGCGGGGAGCAGAGCAGGCAGAAGGACUGAAGUACACUGCUGAGGGGCGCAGC